rnacentral:rRNA from 1 species
UACGUAGGGGGCAAGCGUUGUCCGGAAUGAUUGGGCGUAAAGGGCGCGUAGGCGGCCUGUUAAGUCUGGAGUGAAAGUCCUGCUUUUAAGGUGGGAAUUGCUUUGGAUACUGAGAGGCUUGAGUGCAGGAGAGGUUAGUGGAAUUCCCAGUGUAGCGGUGAAAUGCGUAGAGAUUGGGAGGAACACCAGUGGCGAAGGCGACUAACUGGACUGUAACUGACGCUGAGGCGCGAAAGUGUGGGGAGCAAACAGG